rnacentral:lncRNA from 10 species
CUUAAAGUGGCCACCACAUUUCUUUUGUUCCUGACCUUCUCCCAUUGGGAAGAUGAGCAAGAGCUAGAGCUAGAAGGGCAAUUGAAGUGUGAACAUACCAGGAAAGCUCAGGGAAAGUGGUUCCCGAAACCAUCUUUCCCAUAGCUUGUCUCUUGGGAUGGGCUUUUCCACAGUGACGUGAUUCAGUGUGAUUGCAUGCUUAUGUGUUUACAACCAGCAGGCACAGGGCUGCCACUGACUACACGAUGAUGGGAGGAUGGACGCCGCCUUCAGGAGCUGGAGGAGCAGAAGACGUGAACAAAGAGAAACAUAAUUGAGGUGGAAGGAUCCAGAAGAAAGGAACCAGUGAUGAUGAGGACAGAGGGCUCUCCACGGGAAGGUGGGAGAGAAUUUAGUUCUCUGUGCCGUGAAGAUGGGAUUGGAGCCAUACAUAUUGCCACCAGUUCACUGAGAGGAGUCAUUGAAAACAUGGCAUUGAGGACAGAGACUGCCACUUCAGAAUUUUCUACAUCCAACUGCUGAAGCCACUCGAAGAUAUUUCCCUCAGAGAACCAUAACCAGCUUUGGAGAAGAUGCUUCCACAUAGCUUGUUUCACAGCAUCUCAUCUCUCAUUAAAACCUUGUUGAGGGAGCAUUACUGUCUGAGCAAUGGACAUAGCUCUCAUACGAACCUUUUCAGCUAACACCGGAUAAGCCAGCUUUCUGACAGCCUCUUUCACAUCCUUGGUGCACCCUACAAUUUUUGGCAAAGUCUUUGCUGAUGGUGCAAUACAUGAUAA